AUUUCUUUCAUUGACUUGAAGCCUAUCGAGUUGAGCAUUGAUGAGCAACCUUGGUGGCUGUGACAUGUUAUGGUAUAUUGUCCUCUUUAUAUAUGUAAUUUAGGUUUUUAAUUACAUUGCAAAUUAUACGAGGGAUAUAACUUUAGAUAUUAAAGAUACAUCCUUUGAUGACUAUUCGGUCCUGAAAUGGUAGGAUAAAAAAUUCAAUUCUUGAAUAUAUAUGUAUAUUGUUCUCCUAGGCUUAAUAAUAGAUGAUUCGGUUUCGAUUUGAAAGUCUAGAUUGGUCAUGUCUGGCUGUAGAUCUUGUAAAUUUGGAUAAAAACAAUGUCCCUAAUAAUAACGGAUUGUUCUAUCGUUCUUGUGUUAAGUGUUUGAAUAUGUAUUUUAUAGAAAAGAGUCUGAUGAGCUGGAUGUGUGUCCAUAUGAUUCAAGCUUUUAUUAGCUAAUGUCAAUUUAUAACAGAGGUAUAAAUAACCAUAUGAUUUCUUUCAUUUCCCAAUUAGCACCAAUUAUAGAAAGGUACAUGGUUCUAAUUCAUCUCUCAGUUAAGUCAAAACUUUCUUAAUGAUGUGGCAUUCAUAUAAAUUUAUAUUGUAGUGAUCAUUGGAGGCUUCUUGCUAUCUAUCCAUGUAACUAGACCAUGUAUUGGUUUUGUUCUUUGCAAUGGGUCCAUUUAAAGGUAUGUAUUUUAAAUUUAAACAAUGAUGAGAUUAAUUAUAUUGAUUGCCUUUGUUUGUUGUAUAUUUAUAGUGCCAUAUAUAACUAAAAGAUGUGGAAUGUGGGUAUUAUGUGAUGACGUAAAUGCAUAAAAUCAUCACUAAGAGUAUAACCAACUCAUUUCACAAGCAUUUUCAAAGUUUGAACACAUAUUGUGACUCAGAUGAGAGGAAUACGCGACAUUUGGUCAGAGUACUUCUUAAAUUUAACAAAAUUAGAGUAGAAGAUGUAUAAGUUGUACGUUUCUCCUUUUGUAUAACAAAAUUAGAUUUUUAUUGACAAUUUAUUUGGUUUUGUUCUACAUAUGCUACGAAUUGGUGGUUGUAUUUAAUAUUAAAUGUAGCUGGUUAUAUAUAAUAGUGGGUUCCUAUA